GGGGGCGACUGGUUUCGACGCGAUAGUUCUGAGAGAGGAAGCAGGCCGUGGUCUCCUCGCCACGUUAAACAGGGGUACCGUCAAAUUGAAUUGACAAGAAUUCUUCUUUUGAGCCUCAGCUGGCUCUCGCUGCUUAAUUAAAUAGCGGCGCGUCAAUCUCGGGGUUUCCCCGACUCGAGGGCGACGUCAUUGUAGGGGAAUGCGCCUAAGCACGUAAUCGGUAUGGCUUGGGCUAAGACUGAACCGGUUAGGCCGCUGCGAGCGUGUUGCUGCGCGCAAGGCGGCCGAAGCUAAACCAGCAACUGAGCCUGGAGAUGCCGAUCAGGGAGCUGUCGUGGACCGGAGUUCGAUUCUCCGCGCCUCCACCA
rnacentral:tmRNA from 1 species